UCAGAUUUUGGCUGAGGUUGCUUCAUAGCUACUACAAAUUGAUCGGUUUGUCAUAGAUUCUGAAAAUCUCUUCACUGCGAAUUUGUCCCAAAAAGUUAUGAUAGGAUCCAAUUCCAUGAAUUCAUCUCUCAAUGAAAGCACCAUUAAAACAAGAUUUUAGAGUCUCUUGCAAUAACUCUAGAAAUUAUAGAAUAAACAGAGAAAAAUUUAGAGAGGAGAAGAAGAUAGAUCGGAACAAAGUUAUAUUUUUUAUGGCUUAAAUAUGUUUCACUACUUUAAAUUAUACAUUUUUUAUUUCGAUAAUCCACCUUUUAAUUUUAUCAAUUAAAUAAAUAAACUUUUAAUUUUUUUUAUUUUAGUUCAAUUAAAUUACCAUAUCCUAAAUUGAUAACAUAACUUGUACGCAUAACAUUUUUACUGCUUAUGUGUUAAAAAUAAGUCAUUCUACAACUUUUUUUUUUACCAUUUUAUGAUAAUCAAAGGACAAAACAGUAAUAAAGCAUAUUAGAUUAUUAUUAAAAAUCAAAUAAUAAUAUUUAAACAAAACAUAACAUCAAUUAAACAAAAAUAAAUAUUAGUCCUUCUCUCUCCUACUAUUCCCCUCCCUGAACCAUUCCCCCUGUGCUCAUAUCCCAGUCCCUCGUCCUCCUCUGCCUCCGACACUGUCCCCGUCCCCCGUCCCCCUUUCUUUGUCCUCGUCUCAUCUCCCUCUCUUCAUCUUCCUCUUUUCACUUUUUUAAUGGAGAUGAUAAACAAAAGAAAUAAAAACAUAGGAAAGAUCUCACGCAACCCAUUUCUUCUUCUUCUUCUACUUUUCUUUUAUUUUUCCCCAAAUCUGGAUAUUGCUAUUGGAUGGCUAGGUAGACUGGAGACAUGGUUUUUCUCAGGCUAAUUCUCUGUUUUUUGGUAAUUUAGUUAUUGAGGAAUUGUAAAUCUGAGUUGUUAUUUUGGUAAUAUAUGUAUGAUUGUUUUUUUUUUUCUGAAACGGUGAGCUUCUUCUUCCUCUAUUUUUCCCUAUUCUGGAUAUUGCUAGCUAUUGGAUGACUAGGUAGAUCGGAGACAUGGUUUUUUUCACGCUGAUUCUCUAUUUUUUUGGUAAAUUAGUACUUGAGGAACUGUAGAUCUAAGUUGUUAUUUUGGUAGUAUAUGUAUGAGUGUUUUUUUUCUUGAAACAGUCAUCUGGUGGGUAUCGCGGAGACGUUUGUGGUGGUGAGUGGGAUCAGAUAAGGAGGGUGUAGCUGAUGAAGAAAUGCAGAGAGAGUGAGAGAGUCUGGGAUUUACCCUUGCUUAAUCAAUUUAAAUUAAUAAAAUGAUAAAAAUAUUAUUUUUUAAAUACGUAUGAGCUGGACAUGGCUCUAUUUAAGGGGUCAUGUCAGCAAUUUUUGAUAUGUCAAGAGAAAUUGGACAGAAGUGAAAAAAAUUAAUAAUUUACUCAUCUAAUUAACAAAAUUAAAAGGUAAAUCAUGGAAGUGAAAAAUGUCAUAGUUUAGAGUACUGAAACAUAUUUUUCAGCCUUUUUUUAUUGAUUUUUUCUAAUGACCCACAUUCAACUAUUUAAAAUAAAAGAAAUACAAUAUAACAUAGAAAUGCAUCUAAGCCAUUCAUUCUUAACACUAAAUCCUAACCCUCCAUUAUUACCCAAUACCCAUUUUAACUAGGCUAGGAUCUUGAUCGGUAACACUAGCCACUUUGAAUUUCAUAAUUUCUCCAUCAAUAGAUAGUAUGAUAUGAAGCAAUUGACCUGUCACUGAAUCUGUCAAACACCAAUUAUCACCCUAAAUGCUGAAUCUAAUAUCAAAAAAUGUUAGAAUAUAGUGUAAUGGAUGGCAGAUUACAUUUCCUUUUCUUUUUUUUUUACGUUCAAGUUCCAGACAUACCAUCUAAAUAUGAAACAAAACCAAAAGAAAAAAGGACAGAGAACCAAUGCAGUAUAUUAAAAAGCAAGACGGAAGAAAAAAACCUAAAGGGUGAGUGAUUCCAGUAGCAGCUGCAACAGACAUUCCACUGGUACCAAAAUGAUAAACAACAUUGGAUGGCGAAACCCACCAAUUCUGAUUCUCAUCGAAUCUCAUUGUUGUUCCUACUUCAUUCAAUUCAGGCAUCAAUCGCAAAAUUUAGUUAACAAAAUGUACAAAAAAAAGUACCAAAAAAUUAGUCCUGCAAAUUUUGGUUAUGAAAAUGAAGAAGAGAGAGAAAACCUGAAGGGAUACGUUUUCCCAAAGGCCAAUCGCCAUCCAUUUAUUCCAAUUUCAUCAGCGGAUUUGUUGCUUUAUUGAAAAGAGAGACUAUUCAACCGUGACAUGCACCAAC
rnacentral:lncRNA from 1 species